CGCCUGUUUAUCAAAAACAUGUCUUUUUGAAAUUUAUUUAAAGUCUAACCUGCCCAUUGAUAUAAAUUAAAAGGCUGCAGUAUUUUGACUGUACAAAGGUAGCAUAAUCAUUAGUUUUUUAAUUGAAAGCUUGUAUGAAAGGUUGAACGAAAUAUAAGCUGUCUCAAAAAAAUAAGUAGAAUUUCAUUUUUUAGUUAAAAAGCUAAAAUAAAUUUAAAAGACGAGAAGACCCUAUAGAGUUUUAUAUUUAUUUUUAAAAUUAUUAUUUAAGUUCAUUAAAUUUUUUUAGUAAUAAAUAUUUUGUUGGGGUGAUAUUAAAAUUUAAAAAACUUUUAUUAAUUUUUUACAUUGAUUUAUGAAUUAUUGAUCCAUUUGUAUUGAUUAAAAGAUUAAAUUACCUUAGGGAUAACAGCGUAAUUUUUUUUUAGAGUUCUUAUCGAUAAAAAAUUUUGCGACCUCGAUGUUGGAUUAAGAAAAAUUUAAGGUGUAGGCGUUUUAAAAUUUAAGUCUGUUCGACUUUUAAUUUCUUACGUGAUCUGAGUC
rnacentral:rRNA from 1 species